rnacentral:rRNA from 1 species
GACGAACGCUGGCGGCGUGCCUAAUACAUGCAAGUCGAACGCAGUGGGGACGGGUGAGUAACACGUGGGUAACCUCCCAUCAGAGGGGAUAACACUUGGAAACAGGUGCUAAACCGAUACUGAUGGAUGGACCCGCGGUGCUUUGGCUAGUUGGUGGGGUAACGGCUCACCAAGGCCACGAUGCAUAGCCGCCAGUGGAUGGUGAUGGGCCACACUGGGACUGGGACACUGCCAGGACUCCUACGGGAGGCGGCAGUAGGGAAUCUUCGACAAUGGACGAAAGUCUGACCGAGCAACGCCGCGGGAGUGAAGAAGGUUUUCGGAUCGUAAGACUCUGUUGUUGGAGAAGCGGUAUCUAACCAGAAAGCCACGGCUAACUACGUGCCAGCAGCCGCGGUAAUUC